CAUCCAGCUGGGUAACUGCCUUCCCUGAUAUCCAUUCAUCCCAAAACUCUUUAGAGUUGAGGGAGGUUGCAGGGCUGGGCUUCCAGUACUCUCUCAAUGUUAACAUUACUUUAUCUUAAUUUUCUCCUCAUGCAGAAAGACAAAUAUGCAAAUUUAACUAGGAACAAUAAAUUUUCCAUUAUUUUGUUUAAGUUGAACAUUUGAAAUCUGUUCAUAAUGAAUAAGUUUGACGCAAACAGAGUAGGGUUAUUGUUUUCCUUAAUAUUUUUACCAUUUGGUGUUCUACUUUACACUAGAAAGUCUAAAGUGUUUGUUCACAUUACACCAUCUAAUAUGUUUCUUUAGAUUAAGAUCUAUUCUUUUUUUAGUAGACUCUAGUGCACUGAUAUUAAAAUAAAUUAUAAUUGAUGUUAUAAAGUAAAUUUAAAUUUAUGUUAACCUUGUAAAAUUGAUUAUUAGAUAACAUUUGCAGUCAAUUAUCUUACUAUUUCAUUAUUUCAUUAUUACGUUUGUGUUAACCUUUUAUAAUACGUUUAUUAUAUUAAAUUUACACUCACGCACUCACUUAUGUUACUAUUUGAUGGGAAAAAAACGUACGCGGAAGCAAUACACAUAAUCACGAAUCAACUGCAGAAAAUAAACAACACAGGAUUUAACGUGGUUCGGUCGCCAACUGCAACCUACACCCACACGAGCAACUAUUAGGUUUUAUUUCUUUCCUGUUGCGUACCAAAUUAUAAACACAAUAAUAUCUUUAAAUAAAGAUAAUAAAGGGGACACAAUGAUUAAGUUCAUUCACUAAACAUGGUGUCUAGUCAGCCCAACCCAAUUGGUCCUGACUUCAUACCCAACAAUCUCCCACUUGAAGCCAUUGAACAAUGUUCACCUGCGCUUCAACUGUGUACAUAUAUUGUUGUAAUCUGUCAACGAAACUCAAUGUUCCACCACUAGUUGCCACUAGCCUUCUUAAUCAUUUUGAAGACUUCGUUAAAACUCCUCUAAGUUUUAACACGUUAGUCACUGACCCAUCCUCUGUUCCUACUGGCUCCCACUUGCAAGAACUGUCGGAUCUUAGAACAACCUGAGAACAAACACUCUCCAUAUUCAACAAUAAAUUUUAUGGAGAAGUUUCAACAGCUGGAAUACUGGUUAUCCUAACCCACUGUUGUCUAGGAACCUCAGCUAAAGCACGCCCCGUGCUGCCACUGCCAUAAGUAUCUCUGACUAGUCUACCCGAACCUUUCCAUGCUCGUUUAUCCUGAAUCUGACCUGUGGCUCUGGGUUUCUCUCUUGUAAAGACAACCCUCUUCUGCCCAUGAGAUUCUGUGAAUCGGACUUUGUUUAUCUUUCAAACUGAGACGGUCACUCCCUCAAAAGAUAAUCCGACCAUAUACAACGAACCUCUCUUUCUUCCGCGGGCCAUGACAAUAUUUCCCUUGAUGACCUUCCACUGUUGAUUUCCGAACAUCACAUCAUGUCCUUGUUCGUCUAACUGCCUAACAGAAACCACACUUUUCGUUAAGCUUGGAACAACUCUGACAUCCUUCAAAGUCCAGAAAUCGACUGGCGUCUUCAACAUUAUGUCACCCAUAAUCGUAACAUCAAGAAUUUUGUUGUCCGCUAGUCUUACCUUUCUAAAGUCCCCAAUAACUAGAUUCUGCAAUGCUUCACUGUUGUGGGUAGCAUGAAAAGAAGCACCAGAAUCCAUGACCCAAGAAUCAUCCACAUUGCUAUCCGCGCAACAUACUAAAAGAUCCUUGUCCACGAAGUCUUCUGCAAUGUUGACUUGUUUAUCAUUUGGGCAUUGAUUCUUGAAAUGCCCCACCUCUUACCGUUACAACAUGUUACAACACAUUUUUCAUUCCAUGCACGUGUAGCCUUUUCAACUAUGGUAGUUUUCCAAGUGGAGGAAGCUCCUCACAGUUUUCACAGUCCAAGAGUAUAACUUCCACCAAGUCUCUCAGAACUGCACAAUUUCUCAUCCAACUCGAUAACUGUCUCCCCUUAUACCCUUUCAUCACAAAACUCUUCAGAGUUGAGUGAGGUUGCAGGGCUUCCAGUACUCUCUCAACGUUAACAUUACUACCUUCUGAAUUAGCACUACCACUCUAUGACAAGUGUAGGAUAUUCAACUCCUUCUUACCAAUCAAAUUUGCUUGUUUAGCAUCCCAUUCAUUGGGGACGUUCUCAAGGCCUUCGAUUCUCAGCGUGCCUCCCAGCUUUAAGCUAUGCAACUGUGCUAACCCAUAUCCUGCCUUUGAUCCCACAACGAAAGUGCUCAGUGUUCUUAGAU
rnacentral:lncRNA from 1 species